UGUUACCGGAAGCUCCGCUGGGAAAUGACUUCCUGUCUCCUCCCCUCACAGCACAUGUAGGCUGAGGCGCCACAUGGCAGGAGCGCUUAAUGGAGGAGGAAUGGGAGAGCCGGCCUGCUGCUGCUGUUUCACUACUAGCCAUGGGACUGGCUACAGAGAUAUGUUCAGUGUCACCUUGGGCACAUUCAUAGGUCUGCCACAGGUCCUCCAGCCUCACAGGAAUAAAGACUGAGCAGAAAUGGGGCCCUGCUGACAGGCUACAGCUAAAGAAAAUGGCUGUGCAACCUUGUGUCUGCUUUAUCUGACUUGUACACCAUUCUCAGGCACAUGUUAAGAUGGAGGUGCUGUGACCUUUAUGUCAAGAUGCCCUCUUAAUGGGUAUCUCACUAGCCCUCUCACUAUCUCUUAGUACACCAUUCUUGGACAAAUUGAGAUGGAGGCGCAGUGACCUUCAUGUCAAGCUGCCCUGUUAACGGAAUGGGACAACUUACAAUCUGAUGGCAUUUUCUCACGUGCACUUUAUACCUAGGUUCGGUAUGAGGAGUCAGUGUGUUGAAAAGAUCAUAUGUUAAAACAAAUGCUUAUUAAAAAGAAACAAAUGUUGAA